GAGGGUAUAGCUCAGUGGUGGAGUGCAUGCUUAGGAUGUACGAGGUCCUGGGUUCAAUCCCAGGUACCUCCA
rnacentral:tRNA from 1 species